GAUGAACGCUGGCGGCGUGCUUAACACAUGCAAGUCGAACGAGGAGACGAAGAGGAAGCUUUCGGGUGGACUUUUUGUUUCCGAGUGGCGGACGGGUGAGUAACGCGUGGGCAACCUGCCUCAUAUCGGGGGAUAACAGCUGGAAACGGCUGUUAAUACCGCAUGAGACCACGGCACCGCAUGGUGCAGGGGUCAAAGCCUUCGGGUGAUAUGAGAUGGGCCCGCGUUCGAUUAGCCAGUUGGCGGGGUAACGGCCCACCAAAGCAGCGAUCGAUAGCCGAUCUGAGAGGACGAGCGGCCACAUUGGGACUGAGACACGGCCCAAACUCC
rnacentral:rRNA from 1 species